GACGAACGCUGGCGGCGUGCUUAACACAUGCAAGUCGAACGGAAAGGCCCUGCUUUUGUGGGGUGCUCGAGUGGCGAACGGGUGAGUAACACGUGAGUAACCUGCCCUUGACUUUGGGAUAACUUCAGGAAACUGGGGCUAAUACCGGAUAGGAGCUCCUGCUGCAUGGUGGGGGUUGGAAAGUUUCGGCGGUUGGGGAUGGACUCGCGGCUUAUCAGCUUGUUGGUGGGGUAGUGGCUUACCAAGGCUUUGACGGGUAGCCGGCCUGAGAGGGUGACCGGCCACAUUGAGACUGAGAUACGGCCCAGACUCCUACGGGAGGCAGCAGUGGGGAAUAUUGCACAAUGGGCGGAAGCCUGAUGCAGCAACGCCGCGUGCGGGAUGACGGCCUUCGGGUUGUAAACCGCUUUCGCCUGUGACGAAGCGUGAGUGACGGUAAUGGGUAAAGAAGCACCGGCUAACUACGUGCCAGCAGCCGCGGUGAUACGUAGGGUGCGAGCGUUGUCCGGAUUUAUUGGGCGUAAAGGGCUCGUAGGUGGUUGAUCGCGUCGGAAGUGUAAUCUUGGGGCUUAACCCUGAGCGUGCUUUCGAUACGGGUUGACUUGAGGAAGGUAGGGGAGAAUGGAAUUCCUGGUGGAGCGGUGGAAUGCGCAGAUAUCAGGAGGAACACCAGUGGCGAAGGCGGUUCUCUGGGCCUUUCCUGACGCUGAGGAGCGAAAGCGUGGGGAGCGAACAGGCUUAGAUACCCCGGUAGUCCACGCUGUAAACGGUGGGUACUAGGUGUGGGGUCCAUUCCACGGGUUCCGUGCCGUAGCUAACGCUUUAAGUACCCCGCCUGGGGAGUACGGCCGCAAGGCUAAAACUCAAAGGAAUUGACGGGGCCCCGCACAAGCGGCGGAGCAUGCGGAUUAAUUCGAUGCAACGCGUAGAACCUUACCUGGGUUUGACAUGGAUCGGGAGUGCUCAGAGAUGGGUGUGCCUCUUUUGGGGUCGGUUCACAGGUGGUGCAUGGCUGUCGUCAGCUCGUGUCGUGAGAUGUUGGGUUGAGUCCCGCAACGAGCGCAACCCUUGUUCACUGUUGCCAGCACGUUAUGGUGGGGACUCAGUGGAGACCGCCGGGGUCAACUCGGAGGAAGGUGGGGAUGACGUCAAGUCAUCAUGCCCCUUAUGUCCAGGGCUUCACGCAUGCUACAAUGGCUGGUACAGAGAGUGGCGAGCCUGUGAGGGUGAGCGAAUCUCGGAAAGCCGGUCUCAGUUCGGAUUGGGGUCUGCAACUCGACCUCAUGAAGUCGGAGUCGCUAGUAAUCGCAGAUCAGCAACGCUGCGGUGAAUACGUUCCCGGGGCU
rnacentral:rRNA from 1 species